CCUACGGGAGGCAGCAGUGAGGAAUAUUGGUCAAUGGGCGGAAGCCUGAACCAGCCAAGCCGCGUGCGGGAUGAAGGCCCUACGGGUCGUAAACCGCUUUUGCACGGGGAUAACACCCUCCACUCGUGUCGGUCUGCAGGUACCGUGCGAAUAAGGGCCGGCUAAUUCCGUGCCAGCAGCCGCGGUAAUACGGGGGGUCCGAGCGUUAUCCGGAUUCAUUGGGGUUAAAGGGAGCGUAGGCGGGCGUUCAAGUCAGCGGGAAAAUCCCGGGGCUCAACCUGGCACCGCAGGUGAAACUGGUAGGCUUGAGUUCAGAACAGGCAGGCGGAAUUCGUGGUGUAGCGGUGAAAUGCAUAGAUAUCACGAAGAACCCCGAGUGCGAAGGCAGCGUACCGGAGCCAGACUGACGCUGAGGCACGAAAGCGUGGGGAUCGAACAGGAUUAGAUACCCCGGUAGUC
rnacentral:rRNA from 1 species